AUUUUUUUUUGACUUUUUUUGAUCAGACAUUAUUAGGGUUUCGUUUUCCAUUAUUACUUUCCUUUUCUCUUUGUUUUUAGUUUAGGGUUUUGUUCGUUUUCUCUUUGAUUUUGCGUUUAGGGUUUUGUUUUUCUUUCAAUGCAGGUAUGUGGUGUUCAUCACGAUUUUGAAAUUGGGGGUGACUCACUCCUACUUCAACCAAUAAUUAUCUUGAGUUAAGUUCUUGUUCUGAUUUGGUUAUUAUACAAAAUUUUAUUCUAUCAACAUAGCUUUCAGUUUUAUUCUGAUUUGGUUAUGUAUUGUUAAAUCAUUGUUCUGAUUUGGUUCGCCAUAUAGAUAACAUCAUAGCUUUCAAUUCAAUUAUGUGAUAGAUAUCAAAUUCACCAUAUACAUAACAUUAUAGCUUUCAAUUCAAUUCUGUGAUAGAUAAAACAUCAAAUAAAUACAUUGCCAAAUUGUGUUUCUAUCUCAUUCAUAUAUACACUUUUCACCCAUUUUCCCACUAAAAGGGAAAAGGAAAAUACUUACAACAUGCCCAUAUUCUACAAAAUGUCAAUACUAAUCUAUGUCACUGUCUUGCAGUUCAGUAUCAUAGACCAUUGAAGCCAGAAAUUAUAUGCAAAAACACAUCUUCUGUGCAAGGAAUUGUGAGACCGCCCAUUGGAUGAUGAUAUCCAUAUUCUUCCCCUGCUUGACUCAGCAACUCUUGAAAUGAAGCUUGGUUCAAGUAUGACAUGGGGAUCACAAACCGCUUCAUUUCUUCUCCCACGUACACUGCAAGACAUCCCUUUGGCUACUUUUGAUGAUGUUUGGCUGCUACGUCUAAUAGCUGCAGGACGGGGUCCAUAAGAUGAGGGAUCACCACAUGGUAUUGUCUUGGACGGUUCAAGGCCCCACCUUCUGAAUGAAAGGCCACUAGAUAGACAGCCCAAUUCAAAGUCAAAUGAGGUGGCUAGUUGAGGCGAAUUCAAAGUAAAGGGAUGCCGUUGCCAUUAGCUGCCUGCUAUAGGAUAACAACUGUGACCUCAAUCCAUAUGAAGAGUGCGGGUAGUUCAUGUGAUAAUGGUCACCACCGCCUUCUUCAAUUGUCGGUUGUUCAAGCAAGAAGUUGUAUGUAAGAAGACAUCUUCCUUGCACGGAAUUGUAAGACCGCCCAUUGGAUGACAGUAACCGAAUUCCUCUUCAGCUUGGUUAAGCAAUUCUUGAAAUAAAGGCUCGUUCAAGAAUGAUAUUGGAAUCAAAAACCUCCUUGCUUUCUCUCCAACAUACACCGCAAGAUAGCCUUUUGGGACUUCCACUUGUUUGCCAGAUGAUGAUCGUCUAAUACCAGAAAACUGGCAAUGGGAGACUUUUCAUUAUUGGGUCAAUAAGUGGUUGUUCAAGCAAGAAGCUGUAUGUAAGAAGAUAUCUUCCUUGCAUGGAAUUGUAAGACCGCCCAUUGGAUGGCAGUAACCAAAUUCCUCUUCAGCUUGGUUAAGCAAUUCUUGAAAUAAAGGCUCGUUCAAGAAUGAUAUUGGAAUCACGAACCUCCUUGCUUUCUCUCCAACAUACACUGCAAGAUAGCCUUUUGGUACUUCCACUUGUUUGCUAGAUGAUGAUCGUCGAAUACUAGGUAAAUGAAAACCCAUUCUUGUUUUGUUUCUUGAUAAUAGGAUGAUCUCAAAGAAGUAGUAGAAGAAAGAAGUGCACUUGAAUUCUGAUGCUUCAAGGUAUGAAUGGUUUGUGUUACUUGUAAACUCAAUGAUGGAUAUAUAUCGACCUUGAAAACCAAUUGUAUGGUGAAUGAGUUAUUAAAUGGGUGUUAGUGGGAGCCAUGGCUCAUUAAUGAUCACAUGGUACUGUCUUGAAGGCAUUCAUAGAGGACCACGAAAUGUGAGAUUAAAUACCCCACCUUUUGGAAAAUUAGUCGAUGAAAAAGAGACUAGAGAUAGCUUACUUAAUAUAAUUCAGACAAGCUCUAAACACAUCAAAUAUUUUGUUCUUGUUUUUGUAAGACAAGUGAUAUCUACCAGUACUUGAUAUCCAACCAAUAAACCAUGCAAUCUUCUUGGAAGCUGCUGCAACUUGUAUGGACAGACUACUGCCACAUUGUUGAUCUAAGCGUAAAAUAUGGCUGAUAUAUCAAUUGGAUAAAUUUAAUUACCGUCGAGUCUUAAGAAAUCACUCAUUUAAUCUUUGAGAAAGACCUCUAGACAGUUUCAUGUGAUCUCUUGUCAACAUUAAAUUAAGCUGUGUUGUCUAUGUGAAGAGAACAUGUGCCAUGUCUAAUGCAUGUCUGAAAAUAAAUGAGUAGGCAUUGUACAAGCUAGCAUUGAUUUUAACAUGAGCCUUUCAUUCACAAGAUUGGUUUGCACUCUAAUAGAACUUAUUGAUCCUUGACGGGGGCACCUAGACAACACCAUGUAAUCUUUCAUCUCAUGCCCCCAUUCAUUUUAAAAAUCAUUUCUCUACCAAAGGGAUUUCAAGAAAAUGUUGGAAACUAUAAAUACAGUGUCCUCCUUCACAACAAUCACAAAUCACUCUAGUAGUCAAACUUAGAUAAAUUUAUCUUAUAUGUGACAAAUUCAGCCGGUUCUUCAAAAUAUUUGAAAUGGGUUUCCCUAUACCUUCAACUAUUAGAAAGGCAUCAUUUAGCAGCACCCGGACUUCACCAAAAGUUAUGAAUGUGCCGAAGGGCUAUCUUUACUAUACGUUGGAGAGCAAAUGAAGUGGUUUGCAAUUCCGAUGUCAUAUUUGAACCAAUUUUCAUCCAAUGGUCAGCCUCACAUUUCCUUGCACAAGAAGAUGUUUUCAUGCAUAUAACUUCUGGCUACAUUCAAUUUCACAUUCAAUUUGGAAGAGAAUGACUUCCACAUUCUAUAUAUGCUCGUUAUCUGUUUUACAUAUAACAAAAUUCAUUCUUGCACUGAAGCUUCAGAAUUCAAGUUAUCACAUUCUAUUAUUGUUUAUGGACAAGACAAUAAUAUGCUUACUAGCAUUUCCAAUAAAGAAUGCUAUUUUUGCCAUGAACACUGAUGGAGAUCCAAUAUCAGAUGGGAUUGGUGCUAAUACUACUCAGUAUUUUUGGGACAUUGUCGGCAAUGACAUGUUUUUGAGGCUUGUGUUCAAUUUUUCCAACUGACUGGAUGCCUCCUAACUAUAACAGUAACAUUGUGGUCCUUAUUUCUAAAAUUGAUGGUGCACAUAAAGUGGAUCAUUAUAGACAUAGUCGUGGUCAUUUUAAGUUUAAGGUUAUCGCCAACGUGCUAGCCGACAGACUUGCUACUAUUUUGCUUGAUAUUAUUUUUUCUCAACAAAGAGGUUUUAAUAAGGGAAGGAAUAUCACUGACAACAUUUGUCUUGCUUUUGAGGCUGUUAAUAUGCUUCAUCAUAGAUCUUUUGGAGGAAAUAUUUUCAUGAAAAUUGACAUUACAUUAGAAAGGCAUGUGAUACAAUUGAUUGGAGAUUCUAAUUUGAAGUUUUGCAAUCUUUUGGAUUUUGCUCCAUAUUCUGUAAUUGGAUUGAAGUGAUCUUCAAUCCACCAAAUUAUCUAUUUUUCUUUUCUUGUAAGAGAGAGGUGAGACAAGGGAACCCCUUACCUCCUCUUUUACUUUUGCCUUGCAGAAGAGGUCUUAAGUAAAGCAAUUACUAAUCUGCAAGGGAACCAUGUCUAAUAUGAGGGUUAUUCAAAAUUUGUUUCCCAGAUAUGCUGGUCAACUCAAUUCCCUCUAAGUUUGUGAUGUAUGCAAGCUCCAUUCCUCCAUUACAAAGGCAAAAUAUUAAGAAUUGUUGGGCUUUUCUUUUGGUACUUUACAUUAUUGGGUCAAUAUGUGGUAAACCUGAAGUCUAUUAUUUGAUAUUUUAGCUUCUGAUUUAGACAUCAAAUAACUAUGUCUCUAGUAUUAAUUAAUAUUAGUUUGAUUAGAUGAAUUCACAGAAAACAACAGAUGAACUCAAACAACAAAUGAACACAAGAAUAUAGUUUGAUUAGAUUCUCAAUUCAGAUUUCCACUUCAGAGGAAAUAUCAAAAUUGACAGGAAUUCCUGAUGUACAAAAAGCGUCUAAACUAGUCUAUCUACACUAUACUAUGCUAACAUUCAUAUGAAUUUUUUGCUGUAAGAAUUAAUUAUAGGUUGUUCAAGCGAGAAGCUGUAUGUAAGAAGAUAUCUUCCUUGCAUGGUAUUGUAAGACCGCCCAUUGAAUGACAGUAACCGAAUUCCUCUUCAGCUUGGUUAAGCAAUUCUUGAAACAAAGGCUCGUUCAAGAAUGAUACUGGAAUCAAGAACCUCCUUGCUUUCUCUCCAACAUACACUGCAAGAUAGCCUUUUGGCACUUCCACUUGUUUGCUAGAUGAUGAUCGUCGAAUACUAGGUAAAUGAAAACCCAUUCUUGUGAUUUUUUCUUGAUUAUAGGAUGAUCUCAAAGAAGUAGUAGAAGAAACAAGUGCACUUGAAUUCUGAUGCUUCAAGGUAUGAAUAGUUUAUGUUGCUUGUAAACUCAAUGAUGGAUAUAUAUAGACUUUGAAAACCAAUUGUAUAGUGAAUGAAUUAUUGAAUGGGUGUUAGUGGGAGCCAUUGCUCAUUAAUAAUCA